CAGUUUAACUCCCACGUGCAGACUCAGUAUCUUCUGCUGCGGGGCAGCCGCCUCUGUGCAGCUCCAUCCCGGGAGGUGCCGGCCUCGGGUCCCCGCUCGCCGCAGCAGCGCUGGGGCAGCCUCCCGGGAAGGACGCUGUGGAGCUGCCGGAUAAGCUCCCAACCAUCUUCCUGGUGCUUCCACAUCAUCUUCCCGGGGCUUUGUCCCAGCUCAGCACCGCUCCUGGCAAUUUCUGGGAAGCUUUCAGAACGGCAGGAGAGCAGUGCCGUGCAUCGCCUUGGCGCUACGUGUGCGCAGCAGGACAGGGAGCAGGCAGCAGGCAGCGUCCCCGCCGGUGCCAUGCCGGGGCUCUCGUCCCACAGGAGCCUCAUGCAUGUGAUUCCUCCCCUCCCCAGACAAACCCCACAACCCUCCAGGGACAAACCCUGCCCUGUACAAGUGCUGUUGAGAGGAGAUAACGUUUCUUUCCAGGAGUGAAUAAUCAGUUAAUCCAGUCUUCCUUGCCCAAGGGACUCAGCCCCUGCCAGACACGAGCUGCCCUGUUCCCCAGGGCGCUGCCAAGGAGCAGACCAGGACAAGCAAGCAGAGCAGGCUGAUGCAGAGAAUUGUCCUGAUGUCCCUGGGUUGUCGAGCAAAUUGCUUAUUGUGUUGCUCACUUACACAAUGCAUGUUAUUAUGUGCAACCAGCUGCUCCUGUUUGGCAUUGCUCGCACAUACAGAACAGGAGGCUACCGUCACUUUUCUUGUCUGGAAGUCAAUGUUCCCUCUAGCACCGAAGUUGCUGCCAGACCAGAAGAAGUCUGGCAACAAAGCGAGUCCUGGUGGUAAAGGGCCCUGAGAGACCCCUUUUCUGGGAAGAUGGAGGUUGCAGUUUUGCAAGGAGGUUGAGCUGAUCCAGCUUUGUGCUGCCGUUGAAAGCUUCCUCGUGUCUCUGUAUAUUCCCAUUGCUUUCCUUGUACUGGCACUAAGUCUAACACCCCCUGGAGCAGGGGGCUGAUUUUGUUGUUAUUGUUGUUGCCAAUUAAGUUUUCAGCACCAUCGUCCCUCCUCUGUCCAGCUCUGGGCUCGUUCAAGCACUAGCACCAUCACAAAGGAAAGAGCAGCCAACUCUUCUGGCAAUUAGAGCAGCUUAAAUCCAUCAUAAAAUGUCAACCUCAGUGUUGCAGACCUGUCUGGAGUCAGGCAAGGUCAGAAACCAGAGCAAGGCUGUAUUUGAGACAGGGAGGUUUAAUCCUGCUUGGGAGAGAAAGAACCUAAGCACGGUCCCAAACACGUCUCAGGCACUGACCCCCUGCGAGCUGGGGGCUGAGUAGCUGUGGGCAGCACUUGAUAUCUGCCAAACUGGAGGGCACUAACCCCCGGGGGAUGCUUUCAGUUAGAAGGGAAGCGCUUUUGAACAAGUGCAUCCACAAAAGCUUCAACGUGCUCUAACUUCAGAGCUACAGGGUUUGGCAGCAUGGGGGUUUGUGUCUGAGCUGCUGUUCCUGAUCAGCGGUCGGAGGGAGCACGCUCAGCCUACGAAGAAAGUGCCUAUUCCAAAUUUAAACAGUCCUUUUCAGCGUAAAUUGGAUUAAGCUAAGAGAACAUAAAGCAACCUUUGCCUGGAGUAAGAACAUACUCGUCAUGAUUUUAAAAAUAGCUAUUCUGCUUUAAACUGCUGUCUCCUUCAUUCCCACUGAACCUAGAACUGGGUUAAUACCGUGCUGCCUACUUAAUAAAAACACGCGAUGUGCUCUGAAUCUUCUUGUUCCUC